AUACGGAGGAUCCAAGCGUUAUCCGGAAUCAUUGGGUUUAAAGGGUCCGUAGGCGGGCAAUUAAGUCAGAGGUGAAAGUUUGCGGCUCAACCGUAAAAUUGCCUUUGAAACUGGUUGUCUUGAAUUAUUAUGAAGUGGUUAGAAUAAGUAGUGUAGCGGUGAAAUGCAUAGAUAUUACUUAGAAUACCAAUUGCGAAGGCAGAUUACUAAUAAUAUAUUGACGCUGAUGGACGAAAGCGUGCGGAGCGAACAGGAUUAGAAACCCUAGUAGUCC
rnacentral:rRNA from 1 species